rnacentral:rRNA from 1 species
AGCGAACGCUGGCGGCAGGCUUAACACAUGCAAGUCGAGCGGGCACUCUCGGGUGUCAGCGGCGGACGGGUGAGUAACGCGGGGGAACGUGCCCGCUGGUUCGGAAUAACUCAGGGAAACUUGUGCUAAUACCGGAUACGCCCUUCUGGGGUGAGGCUUUCUGCCGGGGGAUCGGCUCGCGUCUGUUUAGCUGGUUGGUGGGGUAACGGCCCGCCAAGGCGACGAGCAGUGGCUGGGCUGAGAGGAUGCUCAGCCACGCUGGGACUGAGACACGGCCCCGACUCCUACGGGAGGCAGCAGUGGGGUAUAUUGGGCGAUGGGCGCAGGCCUGGUCCAGCCGUGCCGCGUGAGUGAUGAAGGCGUUAGGGUUGUAAAGCUCUUUUAUCCGGGACGAUAAUGACGGUACCGGAGGAAUAAGCCCCGGCUAACUUCGUG